AUUUCAAAUCUUGCACUUCUCUAUCCAUAGAGGCAAUUUUAUUCUUUAACUGCUCAAGAACUUCUUCAGCAAGAGAAGGGUUAAUCUCAUUUACAGGCUUUGUAAUUCCAGCUGCCUGCAAAUUGAUUGGUUUGAAUAAGUUUUUCCUCCUCUGUUUCCUGGAGCAGAUAAUUCAUUGUUAAUUGCCUAACUCUCUCUCUCUAAAAAUAUCGAUAUAUACUCCUCUGUCAAUAAGGCAAUAAGGGACUACUACCACCA